rnacentral:rRNA from 1 species
AACGCGAAGAACCUUACCUGGUCUUGACAUCACCUAGCAAGCCAUGGAAACAUGGCCCUCCUUCGGGACUGGGUGACAGGUGGUGCAUGGUUGUCGUCAGCUCGUGUCGUGAGAUGUUGGGUUAAGUCCCGCAACGAGCGCAACCCUUGCCUCUAGUUGCCAGCAUUAAGUUGGGGACUCUAAAGGGACUGCCGGCGACAAGUCGGAGGAAGGUGGGGAUGACGUCAAAUCAUCAUGCCCCUUAUGAUCUGGGCUACACACGUGCUACAAUGGGUGGUACAGAGGGAAGCGAAGCUGUGAGGCGGAGCGAAUCCCAGAAAGCCACUCUCAGUUCGGAUUGCAGGCUGCAACUCGCCUGCAUGAAGUCGGAAUCGCUAGUAAUCGCGGGUCAGCAUACCGCGGUGAAUACGUUCCCGGGUCUUGUACACACCG